CACGUAGGGAGCAAGCGUUGUCCGGAUUUAUUGGGCGUAAAGAGCUCGUAGGUGGUUUGUCGCGUUGUUCGUGAAAACCGGGGGCUUAACCCUCGGCGUGCGGGCGAUACGGGCAGACUUGAGUACUGCAGGGGAGACUGGAAUUCCUGGUGUAGCGGUGGAAUGCGCAGAUAUCAGGAGGAACACCGGUGGCGAAGGCGGGUCUCUGGGCAGUAACUGACGCUGAGGAGCGAAAGCGUGGGGAGCGAACAGG
rnacentral:rRNA from 1 species